GCGAGUUGGUGCGUGGCUUUCGAGCCUCAACAGGCUUGAGGAAACUCCGUCCCACAGGUAGAAUUGCAACGUCCGCAAGGACGUAAGGCGAGAGCCUUGGCUCCGGAGCAGAAACGAAACGUCCAUCCAGCAAGAGCCGAUGAAGCAUGCUAAGUUGCUGAGAAUGCUGGAUGCGAAACGGUGAAACGGCCGUCCAGCAAGUGGAAAGGGCAAACAGACGCUGAUGAAACGCUACCUGAAGCGCGGGUAGCCCGAUUAGCUGAAUGCCACAAAAACAGAAGGCGGGUUACAACCAACACGC
rnacentral:RNase_P_RNA from 1 species